UACGAAGGGGGCUAGCGUUGCUCGGAAUCACUGGGCGUAAAGCGCACGUAGGCGGGUUGCUAAGUCAGGGGUGAAAUCCUGGAGCUCAACUCCAGAACUGCCUUUGAUACUGGCGAUCUCGAGUCCGGGAGAGGUGAGUGGAACUGCGAGUGUAGAGGUGAAAUUCGUAGAUAUUCGCAAGAACACCAGUGGCGAAGGCGGCUCACUGGCCCGGUACUGACGCUGAGGUGCGAAAGCGUGGGGAGCAAACAGG
rnacentral:rRNA from 1 species